AUUGAACGCUGGCGGCAGGCCUAACACAUGCAAGUCGAGCGAGCGGAGGACGGGUGAGUAAUGUAUGGGGACUGCCCGAUAGAGGGGGAUAACUACUGGAAACGGUAGCUAAUACCGCAUAAUAUCGGAUAACCCAGAUGGGAUUAGCUAGUAGGUGGGGUAACGGCUAACCUAGGCGACGAUUUCUAGCUGGUCUGAGAGGAUGAUCAGCCACACGUGGACGGAGAAACGGCCCAGACUCCUACGGAGGCAGCAGUGGGGAAUAUUGCACAAUGGGCGCAAGCCGGAUGCAGCCAUGCCGCGUGUAUGAAGAAGGCCUUAGGGUUGUAAAGUACUUUCAGCGGGGAGGCGUUACCCGCAGAAGAAGCACCGGCUAACUCCGUGCCAGCCGCCGCGGUAAUAC
rnacentral:rRNA from 1 species